rnacentral:RNase_MRP_RNA from 2 species
GGCAACAGAGAAGAUCCGCACUUGACGUUUAUUGAUAUUACACACGAGAAUGCUUGUCAUUCAAUACCAUUAUACAUCUGUAUAACGCUAGGGAAGGUCUCCAGACUAUAGCGGCUCUUUUCUUAAAGGGAAAGUGCUGUGCCUGUUAAUGGGCAUGACACAUACGCUGCCUUUGGUAGCGUGCUAUCUUUAUCUCUUGGUCGAACAAAGUUUGAGUUUCAAGAGCUCUGAAGAUAUGCCAAUUUCUGGUCAUAGUUAUAGUUAUUGCGGAUACUAUUUUCUUUUUUUCAUAAAAGAAAUAGUUAACAGAAUGGAGCUUACUCUCUCAAGUUGC